CCCUCGCCCUCCCUUGGAGCUGCUCUACCGUAUCAUUUACAGAUCUGGUAGUCCCCCAUUUUAUACCCUAACCUCGCCAAACAGGAGGGGGAAAGAAAAUGCUCAAACGUCAAAUUCGAAUAAUCUUUCUUUACUCUCUAUUAGAUUAAAUUGCAUUUCUAUUUAAAUCACUGCUUGAGGAUUUCUAAAGAAAAUUUGGUUCCAAUAGUGGACAUUGUUGCAGCACAAGAUUUUAUGCACAGUAUUGGGCGAUGAAGCAGUAAAACCCGCGGCGAGAGGUUGAGAAGCAAAGUCCCAGAAUCACGAUCCAACAGAUGAGUUUUUUCUUCCUCUGAUUGGCAAUUUUUGGAUUAAUGAGCAUUGUUGAUGCAAUUUUUAGCCAGGUUUGUGUCAAUGAUAAAGAAAAUUACAUUGCAUUUAUUUAAUAUGGUGCAUAUUACAUUAGUGUUACAUGGAAUGACUUUCUACAGAAUUUCUUAUGUUGCCAUAUAAUGUUGGCAAUUCGGACCUCUGGGAUUAAGUAAACACCUUUUCAAUUGUUUGGUCAUGGUAUUCCAUAACGUACCUUGAGCUGAGUGAUAAUUUACUAAGUUGUUUCGCAAAACAAUGCGACUCUUGGAAUAUUUUAAAGAGUCAUUUGGUUGGGGGCAAUUACCAAAUUUUGAUGUAUUUGUCCAACUAUGAAGUCGUGGGAAUCCGCGUACUUUGCCAGGACCAAGUGACAACAUAUAAACAAAGGAAGCACAUUUAUCUUUUAGAUGGAAAAUAAACCGUGGCCAUAGGCCAUAACUGAUAGAUGCCACCUGAUAGAUGCCACAUUAUUCUUUGAAACGGAUUUCGCUUGCUAAGGGCGAAUGUGCUACAGAUUAUGAUUUUUGAUUUUGUUAGGAAAAAUGGUUUCUAACUAUUCUUGAAAUGCAUUAGAUAAAUGUGUGGAUAAUGCAAGUAUAACCUCUCAAUGUUCUGGAAUUGCUUGUUAGUUUAUUAUGUAUUUAAGUUUUCUGCUGCAUUUUAUACAUGUAUGGCAUAACUAGGAAGAGCAAUAAACCACAGCAGGGCACCCUAUUAAGCAUGAAAGUUAUGAAGUUCUCUUCAUCAUGAUGUUAGUAGCUUUAGAUGCAUUAACUUUACUAAAUAGAAAUACUUCCAUGAGACAUGGAACAUCUUAUAUGUGCAAACACUUGUCAUAACAGUUAUAGUUGUAAAUUUGAGUUUUUAAUAUUGUUCCAUGUUUUGUAUUCAUAAGCAUAUACUAUAAAACAAAAUAAUGAUGGAUUAUUUCUAUUGAUUUGGCAUAUUUUAAAUCUUAUUAGGAGUUUAGAUUUAUAACAUGUCCAAGGAGGUAUGGCUAAAGCACACAUUCAAUGAUCACCUGAAAACAACCUCACCUCGCCGUUGAAGUAUCAAAGGUACUAUAGCGAGGAAUGGCUUAAUGAGGAUCCCACUCGACUUGCUCCACAUAGAGAUAUAGAGAUUUCAAGAGAAAGAAUAAAAUACUUUAUGAGGUACUUGUCAAAUGAAGAGCGUAAUAUGGUGAAUAAGGAGUAUGCCAAAUUCUCAACUAUGGAAGAUAACUUAAGUGAUUUUGAAUCCAUCCAUGAUCGUUAUUGCUUGGACUAGAAGACUUGGUGAGUCUGGUGGGGAUGAUGUCUAUGAAAGCAUAGUGGUUACCAAACUCUAGGGGAUUUCAAUACUUGGUGUACAUGAGUAGAACCUGCUGGGAAUUCUUUUGUGGGACUGUCCAUGUUAUUUCUGCAUAAUCAUUUUGGUACAAAUAUACAAAGAAAACUGUAUAUGGUUUCAUUUUUUUUUUUGACAGAUAUUGAAGUUUGAAUUUGUGCAGUUUCCAUGACUUGUUGAACAUGAUUAAUCUUUCCUGUAAACAGGCUACGUGAUGAGGACAUCAUUUUUAUUCAUUUUUUAGUUGGACUUUAUUUAUAUUUUAGAUUCUAUUUAUGUAAUUGGGCUUGUGUUGGUCCAAGCCCGUUCUAGGUAGGGUUUUGUUUUACUAUUUAAACAUAAUUUUCCAUGUAAUUUCAUUAGUUUUGGAUGAAUAUGAAUUAUUGAGAUUGGUUGUGGCAUCUCUUUUCUCUUCCUUCCCUUUUCUCCUAAAUUUCUACUUUUUCUCCGGUUUCUUCCCCUCAUUCUUUUCGGUUUCUCCCUCCCUUCUUGCUUCUUCUUUCUAUUCUUUAAUUUGUCCUUAUCAAAUUUGGUAUCGGACCCGAACCUUGGGUAAUUUGCUUUCUUAAUCCAAAAUUUCUUCCUAAUUCCUCCCCAAAAUUUGUCGGGACAACACGAGCGAAACGAAUUUAGCAGCAGAUUUCAUUUUUCCAGUUCCUUUCUCAGUUGAAAAAAAAAAAAGAGUGAAAAAAAUACUGUUCAUGGGUACUGUUCACUCUCGAAAUUUCAGCUUACAAUUUUUUGAUUUUU